UGCAUAUCAAAAGCAAUUACACUCGGCUUAGGUAUAUAGCCAAGCUAAGCCGGCCAAAGUCAUCGCACUGGUUUAUAUGGAAAAUAAAAGCCCUGCCUGUUUAAUAGAGAUUUCGAUUCGGUCGAGGCUUUUUAGCCGCGAUUACCGCAAAGCUAGAUAUCCUGAUAAUGAACAUCCUUUUCUGAUCCCUAUAUAGGCAAUUAAUUCUUCGCAGGGAAGAAACUGUCCUGCUGUUAGUAGUCAAGUCACAGUAAUAUUAAAUGGAGGGCUACUUAAAAUAUUUCAUUUGUUCACUUACAAUAUUGGCCAUAUUAUGUUCUGUGUUGGCGAGCCAUACUACUCUAUUGCUUACGUCAGCUAGCAAAUGUUGAAGGAUUUUGUAUAGAUGGAAAUUUCGAGUGUGAACUUUAUACAUUUAUCUAUAGACCUAACGUAACCAUGCAUCCACUGGGGAAAAAAAUUUGAAAUCCAUGCUAUGACUGAAUUUGCAAUUGUAUCGGCUAAAUCCAUAGUAUAUUCAUACUACUUCAAUACUGUAUCCAUAGCUAACAUAGUAUGGAAAUAUACAAUUAUUAUGGAUAACCAAAGUCCAUUCUAUUUCCAAUGAAGGUCCAUACAAUUUCCAUUCUAUGACCUUCCAUAGAUUUUCAAUUUUUUUUCCAGUGUAUCAGUGGUAGUAUCUGUGAACUAUGCAACUAUAGGCACUUAUAGGCCCUCUGCAAUCCCGGUGCAGCGCUCUAACCAACUGAGCUACAGAAGCCAGUUGUUACCGAGCUCUUACAUGGUUAAGUCUAAAUAAUUGUAUAUUAAGCCUGGUUUCCAUAUGGUCGUAAUGGUAAAUG